AUUAGCUGGUAGCUUGCAG
rnacentral:misc_RNA from 1 species